rnacentral:rRNA from 1 species
CUACGGGAGGCACCAGUGGGGAAUAUUGCACAAUGGGCGCAAGCCUGAUGCAGCCAUGCCGCGUGUAUGAAGAAGGCCUUCGGGUUGUAAAGUACUUUCAGCGGGGAGGUAGGGAGUAAAGUUAAUACCUUUGCUCAUUGACGUUACCCGCAGAAGAAGCACCGGCUAACUCCGUGCCAGCAGCCGCGGUAAUACGGAGGGUGCAAGCGUUAAUCGGACUUACUGGGCGUAAAGCGCACGCAGGCGGUUUGUUAAGUCAGAUGUGAAAUCCCCGGGCUCAACCUGGGAACUGCAUCUGGUACUGGCAAGCUUGAGUCUCGUAGAGGGGGGUAGAAUUCCAGGUGUAGCGGUGAAAUGCGUAGAGAUCUGGAGGAAUACCGGUGGCGAAGGCGGCCCCCUGGACGAAGACUGACGCUCAGGUGCGAAAGCGUGGGGAGCAAACAGGAUUAGAUACCCCCGUAGUC